UCGCACGCAGAAGGGCAAAGAUUCUGUUCUUCGCAGUCUCCAGUUUAAAAGGACCGGGCAGUAGGUGAUUUGAAAGACCCCUACGUGAGACCCUGGAGAGCCAUUCCCAGUGUGAACAAUGUUGCUGCCGUUCCUCUUCCUCGUAUCUGCAUCAUUUUUCCUGCCUGGGGACAGCGAGGUGAUGUCUACUUUUAGUGAAUGCAGACAGUUCUUCUUCAAGGAGAAGUUCCCAAACGAUGCUCUGAAGCCAUUGAACCCAGCCAGGAUCUGCCAGAAAUACAAGAACAAGUACUUCUUUGCCACCAUGUACGACAAGACUAAGCGCAUCCCGAUAUACUCUGCUUAUGUUUACGAUCCUCAGCCAGUACAAAGCUCUGAAGAAUGGAUGAUUGAGCCUCAGCUGGUAGGAAUAUGGUCCGAACAUGGAAGAUGAGAUAUUAACGAGGAUUCCAGUGCCAGAGAUUCUAGCAAGCCAGGCCAUGUCCCGGGACUACUCAGCAGCCCCUGGAGAUGUGGACAGAGGGCACCUGAACCCAGUGGGCCAUCAGCCCGACGACGACAGCAAAGCGGCUACUUUCACCUUGACCAACAUCGUGCCGCAGUUCAACCGGUCCAACCAAAGGUCAUGGAGAGAGUACGAAACAACAACAAUGGCAGGGAAACAGAGAGAGUUUCGCUGCACGAAAAUCUACGUGGUCACCGGAGCGGUCCCUGGGAAUACGUUCAUUUCAGGAAACCGGGUCAAUUAUCCCAGUCAUGUCUGGUCUGCUGCCUGCUGUGAGGUUACUAAAACCAGCAGGCAGUCCUGGGGCGCCAUUACAGAUAAUAACCGGAAUGUACCACCUGGCGUAAUACCUCCAGUCAGAAUUCUCACCUUGAGACAACUGGAGGUAGAACUCCAGACACUGUACAAAAAGAAGAACGUCGAUAUUUUCGGCAGUUCUUGCUACUAGGCCGAAAGCUGCAAAUCCACUUGCCUGUCCCCGAAUGUUCUGUCAAGAGUUGACCAUGGGAUGAGGGUGGGAUGAGUGAGCCCUGGCAGAGCAACACUAUCUCUGGCCUCUCAUGAGCCAGUUUCAGAGGGCAGCCAUCUUGAUCUGCCGUAGAACGGCUAGUUUUGAGACCUUAGAGACCAACCAGAUUUUCAGAGUAGCAGCAUUUGAGAAGAAGGGAGCUCUGAUUCUCAUAACUACCCCUGACUCUCAACCAGCCCCCCAGAAAAUCUUGUUCUCUAAGGUACCACUGGGCUCGAAUCUAUUGCAGCUGACAGACACUACUGCUUCCAACAAACACUGAGACAAGCAAAAAAAGUAGACAGCCAUGUCUGCUCAACUGGCAAUGCUUUCCCCAUCACAACACUUCCAUCCCUUAAAAAUAUUGACCUUCAGUUAGGAUUGCCAGGUCUUGCCUGGCUACCACCAGGGGGGGAGGGGCUAGGGUUGCUAGAUCUAGGUGGGGAAACUCUUGGAGAUUUGAGGAAGGAGCUUAUGGAAGUCAGGGACCUUGGUGGGGUAAAUUGCCACAGAGUCCACCCUCCAAAGCGUCCAUUUUCUCCACGGGAACUGAUCUUUGUAGUCUGGAGAUGAGCUGGAAUUCUGGAGGAUCCCCAGGUCCCACCUUCAUCCCAUGGAGCCCGGAACAGAGGGACAGGAAAGCUUUUCUAGCUAACUGCAGCUUCAAUGCCAUAUAAUUGUUGAUCGGCAUAAACUCUAUCUAUCCUUUGGCACUUUGAAAAAUACUUUUCCAAUGUCUUCUCUAGGAGCAAAGAACCUGGCAGCCAAGUCCUGCCUUAUGAUUCAACCCCUGGUCUAAACGAUCCACCCUAUUUCUGAGGAUGGUGGGGCUUUGGCCGUCCUGUUUUGUGUUUUGCUAUUUUAUCCAUGGCUUUUGCUGGAGAUACUGGAGAGGUUUCAACUAUGACAGUAAGCUGCCUUGAGCCACGAGGAAAGGCAGGCUGUAAUUUUUUAAAUAAAUUAAAUGUGCCUCCAUCCUCUCUUCCAUUUCCAAGCAACCCCAAGCAGAAUUCUCAAGAGGUGCGAUAAAACCCACCAAAACCAACGAGAGAGGUGCAUCAGGUUGGAGGGCUGAUCUGCAAAAGGUUCUUAGCGGAGAGAUGGAAGAAACAUCUUUUCAAAACAUUCUGUCAUAACCGCUCAGCCUUUUUUCCUUGUUUCUGUUGCCAAAGAGCACUCAAUCAAAUAAAGAU